rnacentral:lncRNA from 1 species
AUGAUCAUGCAAGAAUUUUAUAUAUUUGACUUCGUUUGUUAAAAAUUCACCUAUUGGUUCAUUUUUAACGAAAACGAUAAACGUUCGUGAACGUUCAACGCUCGUUUCUUCGUUUUAAGUCGGAAUCCGAUCAUUUUUGAGUCCGCAACUCUUAAAUGCCAAAUAUGACUUGUCUCUAUUGGAAAACAAUGGUUUCGUGAUCCAACACAAAAUUUGACUUCCAUUUCGAGAAUUUUACGAAUUCUACGUUUAUCG